CGAAAGCGUAUAUUAAUGUUGUUGCAGUUAAAAAGCUCGUAGUUGAAUUUCUGUCGCUUGCAGCUGAUACGUUUAUUAAAAUGUUAUUCAGAUCGCUGCGACAUUUAUCUGUUUUUAUGUUUUCUUAACUGAAAACAUAGAAUAGAUCUUUUACUUUGAAUAAAUUAGAGUGUUCCAGGCAAGUCAUUGCUAUGAAUACUUCAACAUGGAAUAAUAAUAUAGGCUGUUGGUCCUAUUUUUGUUGGUUUCAAGGGCUAAAGCAAUGAUUAAUAGGGAUAGUUGGGGGCAUUCGUAUUUAACAGUCAGAGGUGAAAUUCUUAGAUUUGUUAAAGACGAACGACUGCGAAAGCAUUUGCCAAGGACAUUUUCAUUAA
rnacentral:rRNA from 1 species